GCUUCUUUGGCUCAGUUGGUAGAGCACUGGCUUAUCACGCCGGAGACCCGGGUUCGAUUCCUGGUCGGGGCA